rnacentral:rRNA from 1 species
CCUACGGGAGGCAGCAGUGAGGAAUAUUGGUCAAUGGACGAGAGUCUGAACCAGCCAAGUAGCGUGAAGGAUGACUGCCCUAUGGGUUGUAAACUUCUUUUAUAUGGGAAUAAAAUGUUCCACGUGUGGGAUUUUGUAUGUACCAUAUGAAUAAGGAUCGGCUAACUCCGUGCCAGCAGCCGCGGUAAUACGGAGGAUCCGAGCGUUAUCCGGAUUUAUUGGGUUUAAAGGGAGCGUAGGUGGAUUGUUAAGUCAGUUGUGAAAGUUUGCGGCUCAACCGUAAAAUUGCAGUUGAAACUGGCAGUCUUGAGUACAGUAGAGGUGGGCGGAAUGCGUGGUGUAGCGGUGAAAUGCUUAGAUAUCACGAAGAACUCCGAUUGCGAAGGCAGUUCACUGGACUGCAACUGACACUGAGGCGCGAAAGUGUGGGUAUCAAACAGGAUUAGAUACCCCAGUAGUC